CACACACACACACACACACACCGCUAUCAACAGGUAAACCGGAAUCAAAUAGUUUAAUCCUUAGAUAUGUCAGUUCCUGUAGCUCAGUUCCUGUAGCAGAAACUGAAUGAGAAAUUAUACUAGAAGCUGUUUUCCGCUACCUCUCCUCCAUCAAAGAAUCAAAGGGCAAGGUAGCCUUCCUCAACAGACCUGCAUAUUGUAACCUUUGUGAAAGACAUCAGGUUGGGAAAUCCAGCUGUUACACGAUUAAAUUUCCCACCCAACCAUCGGGGCCUGGUCAGUUGUCCAGGCCUUCUGCUCUUUUGCCUCUUCAUAUUUCCACAUGAAAGCAUGCCCUUUAAUUCUGCAUGUUACUGGAAAACUUGCCACUUAGAAUCUU